CUCGUGCGCGGCGCUCCGCGCGGAGCGUGCGGCUGUGGGGUGAGGGAGCCCUUCUGCAGCUGCUGCGAGAGGCUGUGGUGCUGCCGCUGGCCGGGAGGGCCUGCGCGUCCUCCCUGGGUGUCGCGGUCCUUAGGGAGGAGCCAUCGGCCGCCCCGGUCCCGUUAACGACAGGAGGUGCCUGCGGUCCCGCUAACAGGAGGAGGCGCCGCUGCUGCCGCUGCGCCUCAGGUGCAUCCAGCAUCUCAUUGAGAGGUCAUUGUUUUGUUUAGAAAUAGGAAUGUGUAACUCCUGAGGCAAACCUGAGCGUCUUCAUUUGUAGAAAUAAGGUGGUGGGGCCAUAAAGCACCAGUGAGAGAAGAUGAAAUCUCUGGAGAUGGAAAUGUCAUUGAUUCAGGGCCUUGUCUCCAUAGCUGUUACAAGUCUGGCUACUGAAUAACUGUUGACAACUUAUCCUUUAAAGCAUUCCUACACCUCUCCUGAGUGCAGGUGUACCAAUAAAUCAGCCAGAGGAAGAAGCAACAUUUGGUCAUUUGCAGCAGCUUUAGUUGUAGCCCUCCAGCUGUCUGAAAAAAUGUCUAAUUAUGACAAAACUUCUCCUGCAGGUCUCAGCUACCUAAUACCCAACAGCACAAAACCCUGCAGAGGGGCUGGGGGUUGCUUGCAUACUCUGGAUCCUGAUCUGCCCUUCUUCCCUGUUCAGCAAUGCUGCAUCCCCUGGACUGUGAUUGUGCAUCUGUUCUGCCACAUUCUUGCUGAAGAGAUGUUUUGAUCUAUUUUUUGACAUAAUGGUCUAAGUUGAUCCAUGAAGCUGACAAAAAAAGUCAAAUAAUGUUCAUGUUUAUUAGAAAAAAAUAGUAAUUAUGAGAUAAUUGUGAUGCUUUCAACUGAUCUACAUUGACACGGAAGGAGAUUGUUUCCCUUGUUCCAUACUGCUUAAAGAAAGUACUUUACAAUAUAUGGUUGUUAA